AUCUUCCAGUCUCUCCUCUCUGAGUCCUUUCCUUCAGCUGUUGCACCAUUUCUACUUUGUUCAGAGGGAUAAUGCUGGAAAGUAUAGGAUGUCAAGUUCACUCUGCUUUUAUUUUUUAUUCCUUUUGGCAGACAGUUGGCAGCUGUGUGAAGAUGGGAAUGGAGGAGGCAGGGUAGGCAGUGGGUGACGCAGCCACAGCUUGGGUUCUCUGCAGCCCUGGCACAGAAGAUAGGAACACCCAUGGGGGAUGCAGCCACCAUGAUGUCUUCCCACACAAGGAGUGCCAAGUGCUUUUCUCACGCUUUUCUGGAUUGUUCCAUGGUGGAUGAGUCAGCAGGAGUGAGAUGGAGCCGCAGAGUGGAGGGGUAUCUGGUUCCUUAGAUCCUGGGAUGAGGAGGUUGACCAGAAGGUGGGCUUGGGAAGGUAGCCUGGGGUGCAAAUCCUCUUGGCUCUUCAGCUUGGCAGGAUGUCACCCUCAGUGUCUGAAAGCUGGGUUUGAUGCGUCUGGAAAAGCGUCCCUCACAGGCGUCGUUGCUGGGAGCCCCUGGUGCCGCCAGCAGCUAGCAGGGAGCAUGUCCUCUGCCCGCUCACUUCUGACCCUUCUCUCGCUGCACGGAUGAGGACCUUAGGACAGAAUGGCUCUAAACCCGCUCCUGUCCACGGUGUGAGCAUUUCCUGAUGUGAAAGCUUCAACCGCAGUCUCAACAUUGAGCUCUUCCAAGGC
rnacentral:lncRNA from 1 species